CAUCACAAAUAAACAACGAAACAACGAAACAACUAAACAACUAAACAAAGAAACAAAGAAACAAGAGAGGCCUUCUUUAUUGAUUAACUCUUUCCAUUGUUUCGCUACU
rnacentral:ribozyme from 1 species